rnacentral:rRNA from 1 species
UACGUAGGGGGCAAGCGUUGUCCGGAUUCAUUGGGCGUAAAGAGCGUGUAGGCGGCCAGGUAGGUCGGUUGUGAAAACUGGAGGCUCAACCUUCAGAGGUCGACCGAAACCAUCUGGCUAGAGUCCGGGAGAGGAGAGUGGAAUUCCUGGUGUAGCGGUGAAAUGCGCAGAUAUCAGGAAGAACACCCGUGGCUAAGGCGGUUCUCUAGUACGGUACUGACGCUGAGACGCGAAAGCGUGGGGAGCGAACAGG